rnacentral:rRNA from 1 species
GAUGAACGCUGGCGGCGUGCCUAACACAUGCAAGUCGAGCGAAGCACUUACUUUAGAUUUCUUCGGAAUGACGAAGUUUGUGACUGAGCGGCGGACGGGUGAGUAACGCGUGGGCAACCUGUCCUGUACAGGGGGAUAACAGUUAGAAAUGACUGCUAAUACCGCAUAAGCCCACAGCUUCGCAUGAAGCAGUGGGAAAAACUCCGGUGGUACAGGAUGGGCCCGCGUCUGAUUAGCUAGUUGGUAAGGUAACGGCUUACCAAGGCGACGAUCAGUAGCCGACCUGAGAGGGUGACCGGCCACAUUGGGACUGAGACACGGCCCAAACUCCUACGGGAGGCAGCAGUGGGGAAUAUUGCACAAUGGGGGAAACCCUGAUGCAGCGACGCCGCGUGAGCGAUGAAGUAUUUCGGUAUGUAAAGCUCUAUCAGCAGGGAAGAAAGUGACGGUACCUGACUAAGAAGCCCCGGCUAACUACGUG